CGGGAUGUAGCUCAGCUUGGUUGAGAGUUGCCGCUUUGGAAGCGGAAGGUCGUAGGUUCAAAUCCUACCAUCCCGACCA
rnacentral:tRNA from 2 species